rnacentral:rRNA from 1 species
CUACGGGCGGCACCAGUGGGGGAUAUUGCACAAUGGGCGAAAGCCUGAUGCAGCAACGCCGCGUGAAGGAAGACGGUUUUCGGAUUGUAAACUUCUAUCAGCAGGGAAGAAAAUGACUGUACCUGACUAAGAAGCCCCGGCUAACUACGUGCCAGCAGCCGCGGUAAUACGUAGGGGGCAAGCGUUAUCCGGAAUUACUGGGUGUAAAGGGUACGUAGGCGGCUGAUCAAGUCAGAUGUGAAAGCCCGGAGCUCAACUCCGGGACUGCAUUUGAAACUGGUCGGCUAGAGUGCAGGAGAGGAAAGUGGAAUUCCUAGUGUAGCGGUGAAAUGCGUAGAUAUUAGGAAGAACACCAGUGGCGAAGGCGGCUUUCUGGACUGUAACUGACGCUGAGGUACGAAAGCGUGGGGAGCGAACAGGAUUAGAACCCGCGUAGUC